rnacentral:rRNA from 1 species
AUGAACGCUGGCGGCGUGCCUCAUACAUGCAAGUCGAGCGAACAGUCGAGGAGCUUGCUCCUCUGACGUUAGCGGCGGACGGGUGAGUAACACGUGGAUAACCUACCUAUAAGACUGGGAUAACUUCGGGAAACCGGAGCUAAUACCGGAUAAUAUAUUGAACCGCAUGGUUCAAUAGUGAAAGACGGUUUUGCUGCCACUUAUAGAUGGAUCCGCGCCGCAUUAGCUAGUUGGUAAGGUAACGGCUUACCAAGGCAACGAUGCGUAGCCGACCUGAGAGGGUGAUCGGCCACACUGGAACUGAGACACGGUCCAGACUCCUACGGGAGGCAGCAGUAGGGAAUCUUCCGCAAUGGGCGAAAGCUUGACGGAGCAACGCCGCGUGAGUGAUGAAGGUCUUCGGAUCGUAAAACUCUGUUAUUAGGGAAGAACAAAUGUGUAAGUAACUAUGCACGUCUUGACGGUACCUAAUCAGAAAGCCACGGCUAACUACGUG